CGCCCAGCGAGGCGCGGGUGGCCGAGUGGGCGCGGCCGGCCGGCCGGCGCGCGGCGGCGGCCCGCCCCCGCUCCCUUCGGCGGCCGGGCCGCGGCGGGGCAGAGCAGAGCAUUCGUCCAAAUCCGUGAACCAUGCAUCAUAUCUGCACCCGCUGUACGACCCUGACAGCUAUGUCUCAGAUUCAUCGUUCAGGCUUAGAUGAGUUUGGACUUCAAAUUAGUACUAUUUCUGGCUAUGAUCUUCAUUGUGACUCAAAUAACGCAGCCUGGCUAUGAUCUUCACACAUUGGAUGCAGCCAUGAAGGUACUAUUCCUGAUUUGCUGCGUUUAGGGCUGAAGAAUGGGUGCAUACAAGGUUAACGAAGAGUGUUAGGGAUUUCUUUUGAGAUUGGUAGCCCAUGAGUUUUGCAUCAAUCGUCGUGACUGUUUUUUCCCUUGUCGGUGCACAGAUUUUGGAUGUAGCAUAUAUCUAAGCCUGAUUUAAGUAUACAACAGUUUGCCACUGUUACAUCCCUAAAUGGCUUAUGACCCGUUAGUUGGUUGCCAUUGUAAUUUGUGUUGUGCUAAUAUGCCUGACUCCAGUUUAACACGCCACUGAUCUUGGUUCGUUGCAUGCUGAACAUGCUAGACAGGCAGGAGUUUUGUUCAUUAUGGUUGUUGCUUUGCUGAAUCAGAAUUAGCAGGAGCUGAUAUCUGCAUUUCAUUUGUUUUUUUAUAGAAAAAUCAGACCUGCUUGGUGCAAUGUUCAUUUGAUAUCUUAAAAUGAUGUCAGGAUAAAGAAAUUGAGACUUGCAUCUUACCUUGACAAAUUAAUGAGUAACAUGGAUUACUUUAAAACAUAAGGUUUGGCAAUUUCAUAAUUCGUCUAUUCUCUAAAGUGAUGUUAGCAAUUCCAGUGGAACGGUGAUGUUAGCAAUUCCUGACACAACACAAAGUAGUACAAUUUAAUAGCAUUUGUGACAUCUCUUGUGCAUGUUGCUUCUGAUGAUGUUUCCUUAAGGCUAUUGUGAAUUUAUAUGUCUGAACAUUACUUCUCUGAGCAAUAGUAACACUAUAAAGAUAUUGCAGUCUAAUUUUCACAAUCUAUAUUUCCACAUAUUGCUACUGUAUUUAGCAAUCUUGUUGCCCUAUAAAAGCUUAUCUUUAGCUACUUAUAAUGUGUUCAUUCAGCAAGGCAACUUUCCAGCAGCCCGAGUGGUACACUGGUAGUACGCAGGUAUGAUUUGUUGCAUCCUUACUGUACACUUGCCACUCAUCACAUGCAGCACAAGUUGUUGCUAGGAAUUACAGUCUUUGUACUCACUUUGGCGAAUUGGACUAUGCUAAUUCCAUUGAGGAGGAGAAGGACAAGAUCAAUGAUAUAACAAGACUCCAAAACUUGGCCAAGCCGUUACCUGCACAUGUUUUGGUGAGUUUAAAACGACAAUUGUUUGAAUUACAUGCAGAGAAACUAAGUUUGCUUUAACUCUUCAAGAAUAAUAUGCGCAAAGAAACUGCAGAGCUCAUGGGCAGGUGGAUAGGAGCAGAGGACCAGUUAUCUGCUAAUUUAUCCUGUUACAUGUAUUCUGUUUUCAUAGGCUUGAGCUAUAUGUUCAAUAUUCCAAAGCAAGAGGCAGAGAAUGGGUAAAUUUGUACUCUGCAUUUUCUGGUAGCAACAGUAAAAUACUUCACAUUCUGCAACUCAUCGGGUGUUCGGUAUCGGGAUUGUCGACUCAUCAAUGUGCUGAUGGAUGCCCUUCUUUGAUUUGUUAUGGACACCCUAGAGAUGAUGUUUUAACAAGUGGAUAUAUGUAUAGUGGAAAAUUACAACCGUAUCUUCAUUCAGAGUCUCAUGUGUAUAUGAUGCUGAUGGAUGCCCUUCUUAUACACGAAUGAUUCCAUGUUUGUAUAUGGAUAAUACGUGUGUUCACUUAGACAAUCUUUGUUGUGUUACCAUCAACAUGUAAGAUAUGAUUCCUGAAUCAACUAGCUGCUACCCUUUAUGCUAUGAUUGUGCCAUUUCCACACUCUAUUUGUCUAAGCGAUAAUUAAUGAGAACUAUUUCCACC